rnacentral:lncRNA from 1 species
CAGGCAUAGUAAUGGGAUUCAAUCAAUGAGAAUGCUUGGGUGAGACAAAGGAAUCUUUAAAAGUUGAGCAAGAAUGAUUUUCUAUUUCUUCUGGAUCAGUGACCUCCAGCAGGACUUAAAGUAGUGUUAGGACAUGCUUCACAGUGUUGCAAAAGAGCAGGCUGUCUUGUCAGCAGGCACAGAGUAAACAAGGAAUCAGUGGACUACAAAAUCAAUAAUGCAAUUUAGAUUUUAUAACCAUUGUUCAUAACCACACACUGCUAUCCCUAAAACUAUGUCAGGAAUCAGGUAUUCAUUGACUAGAAGACCAGAAUCUGUAAUUGUAUCUAAUAUGUUUUUAUGACCACAAGGAACCUGAUUCUAUUAUCUUUUAACUUUAAGGUUAAUCUUUCACUGCAUUUGCAGAUAAUGUUAUUUCAUGCUAGUAUUCACUUUUACUGCAGGAUAUAGCAGCAAGGCCUCUUUAAAAUACUGUCUUCUAUGUCAUGAUCCAGAAUGAAUAAUUACUUUCAAUAUUGGGGAAGGCAGACUCAGAUACCUGUAAUGAAAAUCAUCAUGCAGUAAAUGCUAAUUCUGGUGCAAAUCAAUACUGGGAAGAUGCUUCAUGCCCUUGAACAUCAGACUCCAAGUUCUUCAGUUUUGGAACUCAGACUGGUUCUUGCUCCUCAGCGUGUAGACAACCUAUUGUGGGACCUUGUGAUCAUGCCUCAUAGGAUGUGCUUCCCUGUGAAGCGGAUGUUCUGA